GUCCCCAUCGUCUAGCUUGGUUAGGACACAGGAUUUUCAUUCCUGUAACAGGGGUUCAAAUCCCCUUGGGGACG
rnacentral:tRNA from 1 species